GAUGAACGCUGGCGGCGUGCCUAAUACAUGCAAGUCGAGCGAACAGACGAGGAGCUUGCUCCUCUGACGUUAGCGGCGGACGGGUGAGUAACACGUGGAUAACCUACAUAUAAGACUGGGAUAACUUCGGGAAACCGGAGCUAAUACCGGAUAAUAUAUUGAACCGCAUGGUUCAAUAGUGAAAGACGGUUUUGCUGUCACUUAUAGAUGGAUCCGCGCCGCAUUAGCUAGUUGGUAAGGUAACGGCUUACCAAGGCAACGAUGCGUAGCCGACCUGAGAGGGUGAUCGGCCAUACUGGAACUGAGACACGGUCCAGACUCCUACGGGAGGCAGCAGUAGGGAAUCUUCCGCAAUGGGCGAAAGCCUGACGGAGCAACGCCGCGUGAGUGAUGAAGGUCUUCGGAUCGUAAAACUCUGUUAUUAGGGAAGAACAAAUGUGUAAGUAACUAUGCACGUCUUGACGGUACCUAAUCAGAAAGCCACGGCUAACUACGUG
rnacentral:rRNA from 1 species